CUCUGGGCUCUAGAGCCGGGGCCGCGGGGAAGGGAGGGCCAGCCUGGGCUCUCCGGGACUCCCGGCCCUUCCCUGGCCAUCCCGCCCGCGGACUCCGUCUGGGUCUCCGAGACCGCCUGCCCGGGAAUUCGCGGGGCCGAUAGCCGAGCCGGGCGUGGACGGAGGGGCCUGGGGGUGGCACGCAGGAACCGCGCUCCCUACCCGCCCCCCGGCAGCCGUAGACAGGGCGCCCUGAGGCCGCGGGCCGGCCGCGUGGGGUGCUCAGAACGCCGCCCGACACGGGCUGCGAGCGGGCCGGGCCGGCUGCGGCCGCGGAGCGCGGAGGUGGCGCCCGCGAGGGGGAGGGGCGCGGCGCGGAGGAGGAGGAGGAGCCGGGGCCGCUGCCGCCGCCGCCGCCGCCGCCGCCGCCGCCGCCGUGACAGCGGCCCGAGUAAACAAGCCGCGCCGCCGCGGCCGGGCCGCUGCCCCGCCCCGCGCCCGAGCCCAGGCCGAGCCUUGUCCUGGUCUCCGGCCGGGCCGAGGCCGCGCCGCCGCGCCUCCCCGCCUGCGCGCCGUGACGCCGCUGCCGGGCGCGGGGACCGCCCGAGCCAGGCCCCCGCCGCCGGGCUCCGCGCUCGGCCGAGGGGUGCCCGAGCAGCCGCGGCGGUCGCCCGGAAAAGUUUCCCCGCCCGGCUCCCCAGGGUUCUAGGGAGGGAGAAAAGGCUUUGUCCAAGAAAACAACUAGGAACCGGACCAUAGCUCAGUCUGUAGCCAGGCCCAAACUGAGUGCUGGGCAAGACUGACCCAGAGAGGCUAGAAAUACAUCCAGCCUCCUGGUUUGAGACAACUGGGACUCAGAGGGUGAGUCAGAGUCUGGGAUGGGGGUGGGGAGAAGCCUGUUCAUUCAUUGUUCUCAGCUCUUGGUCGUGUGUGUGUGUGUGUGUGUGUGUGUGUGUGUGUGUGUGUGUGUGUGUGUGUGUGUUUGAGCACGAGUUGGUGGGGUGGUCCUCUCUCUGUCAUAUGAUGAGGCCAGGCUGUCUGAUGACUGGAAUCCAUAUCCUACCCUUGCCAUAGGUGAGGACACUUGGUGGAGGGAAGCAGAUCACCUUCCUUGGGGGUGGGGUGUUGGAUCCCCGUCCUGUUCAAUUGUGCCUGAAGCUCAGUUGCUUGCUGCAAGGUAAUUAAAUAGUUGGUUAAUCACCUUUAAUGCCAGGCAGUUGUAGCUCCAUCUACAGUUUGCUGGAACCUGAGCUAGACCCAGACAGACCCAGCCAUAAUUUGGAAGCUAUAGGCAGGUCUCCCAUCUCCCGGCAGGGAGUCUGCCUGAUGUCUAAACCCAAGAGAACUUUAGCUGUGACAAGAGAACAGGCCCUGUUUCCACACAGUUUUGCCUCUAAGCCCCACAUCUUCCUAAAUGGGGGCUUGAAGUCCCUUUACUCCUUAGCACUGGAGCACCCGAUUAGUCACACAUAGUGGCUUUAUCUCC
rnacentral:lncRNA from 1 species